UCCCUGGAGGACUAGUGGUUAGGCCACAGCACUCUCACCACUGUGGCUUGGAUUCGAUCCCUGGCCAGGGAA
rnacentral:tRNA from 1 species